UACAGGGGGUGCAAACGUUGCUCGGAAUCAUUGGGCGUAAAGCGCACGUAGGCGGUCUGUUAUGUCGGAUGUGAAAGCCCUUGGCUCAACUGAGGAAGUGCAUCCGAAACUGGCAGGCUAGAGUACUAAAGAGGAUCGCGGAAUUCCCGGUGUAGAGGUGAAAUUCGUAGAUAUCGGGAGGAACACCGGUGGCGAAGGCGGCGAUCUGGGUAGAUACUGACGCUGAGGUGCGAAAGCGUGGGGAGCAAACAGGGAUUAAGAAAACCCCGUAGUACGUACC
rnacentral:rRNA from 1 species